UUAUUAUUUUUCCUCCCCUUUGAACUGGAAAAUGGCCCACUUCCCACUGGCGAAAACUCAUGAAAUUUGGCAGGACGACCGGGCCUGGUGAAAAAUUUGAUAUUCUGAAGUCGCCCAAACAAUACAAUGCAAAAUGGCUCCAUAGCGCCCCCUAAGGUGAAAAAUUCACCUGACGCCUGUACGCUUUGUCAAAAUGACACAAAAAUUGACACACACAUGUAUCUCAAUAAGAUCUACAAAAAAGUCAGUGCGGGCGUAUCUGUCAAAUGUACGGUUAAAGGGUUAUUUCGCAUUUUUUGCCGAUCCGCACACAUUGGAAUUUCGCUAACUCCUCCGAAGGCUUUCGUUCCACCGGCACCACAUUUGCUCAGGCCAAUCUACACCCCAUGGCCAUUAAAAGUUAUUCAAAUCAUGACGCUGCACCCCACGGUUUAUGUUCUAGGGGGCGCCAAAGAUAACCCUAAAAUCCACAUAUUUCAAAGUCUUAUAACUUUUUAUUUUUGCCCUCACUGGCCUCCAAGUUUUCUAGGAUGAUGCAAUGUCCAGCCAUCAACACAUUUGUGAAGGAAUUUUUACUCCCCAAAAGAGCGCCCCCCCAUGGCAGGAGAAAAAAGUCCAUUUUUUCUUGUUCCAUAAGGUGAAAAUUCACACUAUUGACUGUCACGCCUGUACGCUUUGUCAAAAUUACACAAAAAUUGACACACACAUGUAUCUCAAUAAGAUCUACAAAAAAGUCAGUGCGGGCGUAUCUGUCAAAUGUACGGUUAAAGGGUUAUUGCGCAUUUUUUGCCGAUCCGCACACAUUGGAAUUUCGCUAACUCCUCCGAAGGCUUUCGUUCCACCGGCACCACAUUUGCUCAGGCCAAUCUACACCCCAUGGCCAUUAAAAGUUAUUCAAAUCAUGACGCUGCACCCCACGGUUUAGGUUCUAGGGGGCGCCAAAGAUAACCCUAAAAUCCACAUAUUUAAAAGUCUUAUAACUUUUUAUUUUUGUCCUCUCUGGCCUCCAAGUUUUCUAGGAUGAUGCAAUGUCCAGCCAUCAACACAUUUGUGAAGGAAUUUUUACUCCCUAAAAGAGCGCCCCCCCAUGGCAGGAGAAAAAAGUCCAUUUUUUCUUGUCCCAUAAGGUGAAAAUACACAUUGUUGACUGUCAUACCUGUAUGCUUUGUCAUAUUGACACAAAAUUUGACACACACAUGUAUCUCAAUAAGAUCUACGAAAAAGUCAAUGCGCGCGUAUCUGUAAAAUGUACGGUUAAAGGGCUAUUUUGCAUUUUUUGCUGAUUAGCACACAUUGGAAUGUGGCUAACUCCUCCUAAGGCUUUCGUCCCACUGACACCAAAUUUGCUCAGGCCAAUCUACACCCCAUGGCCAUUCAAAGUUUUAAAAAUCAUGACGCUGCACCCCACGGUUUACGUUCUAGGGGGCGCCAAAGAUGACCCAAAUAUCCACAUUCUUAAAAGAAUCCACAUCCCUUUCCCCCCCCCCUCCCAUCCCCCAUCCCCCAUGGCAGGAGAAACAGUCAAGUUUUUCCUGCCCAUCACUCAAUGGCUCAAUCGCAUCGCUCUCCCGGCAACACCGUAACGAGGAGCAACUUGCCGUUUGGAUAUAUCCUAGCUGUGUUUGUGCCCUCACUCAUGGUCCAGACUUUUUUCAAAUAGGACAUGUAGUUUGUCUGCAGCGAGUGUUUUGGUAGAAACUGCGCCUCCCAUUCAUUAUAAUGGGAAAUGACCACAGACAAGUGCGCACACCAUCUUUGGACCUUGAGUGUGACGCGAUCGGGAGGGGGAGGCGGUCGCACUGGGGGCGGCGCAACGCGGCUCGGGCCCGCCAGUGCCCCAACGGGGCCCUAGUUAGGGCCCGAGCGUAGCUGCUAAGCAGCUGCGAGAGCCCUCUUGUUCCUGUAGUUUCCUUCUUUUGUUAUUAGGGCCCGAGCGUAGCUGCUAAGCAGCUGCGAGAGCCCUCUUGUUCCUGUAGUUUCCUUCUUUUGUUAUUAUUAGGGCCCGAGCGUAGCUGCUAAGCAGCUGCGAGAGCCCUCUUGUUCCUGCAUGUUUCCUUCUUUUGUUAUUAUUAUUAUUUUUCCUCCCCUUUGAACUGGAAAAUGGCCCACUUCCCACUGGCGAAAACUCAUGAAAUUUGGCAGGACGACCGGGCCUGGUGAAAAAUUUGAUAUUCUGAAGUCGCCCAAACAAUAAAAUGCAAAAUGGCUCCAUAGCGCCCCCUAAGGUUAAAAUUCACACUAUUGACUGUCACGCCUUUACGCUUUGGCAAAAUGACACAAAAAUUGACACACACAUGUAUCUCAAUAAGAUCUACGAAAAAGUCAGUGCGGGCGUAUCUGUCAAAUUUACGGUUAAAGGUUUAUUUCGCAUUUUUUGCCGAUCCACACACAUCGGAAUUUCGCUAACUCCUCUGAAGACUUUCGUUCCAUCGGCACAACAUUUGCUCAGGUCAAUCUACACCCCAUGGCCAUUAAAAGUUAUUCAAAUCAUGACGCUGCACCCCACGGUUUAGGUUCUAGGGGGCGCCAAAGAUAACCCUAAAAUCCACAUAUUUAAAAGUCUUAUAACUUUUUAUUUUUGUCCCCACUGGCCUCCAAGUUUUCUAGGAUGAUGCAAUGUCCAGCCAUCAACACAUUUGUGAAGUAAUUUUUACUCCCCAAAAGAGCGCCCCCCCAUGGCAGGAGAAAAAAGUCAAUUUUUUCUGGUCCACUAAGGUGAAAAUACACAUUGUUGAGUGCUACGCCUGUAUGUUUUGUCAUAUUGACACAAAAAUUUGACAAUCACGUGUAUCUCAAUAAGAUCUACGAAAAAGUCAAAGGGCGCGUAUCUGUAAAAUGUACGGUUAAAGGGCAAUUUCGCAUUUUUUGCCGAUCCGCACACAUUGGAAUUUCGCUAACUCCUCCGAAGGCUUUCGUUCCACCGGCAACAAUUUUGCUCAGGCCAAUCUACACCCCAUGGCCAUUAAAAG
rnacentral:lncRNA from 1 species